UUGGUGAGGUAACGGCUCACCAAGGCGACGAUCCCUAGCUGGUCUGAGAGGAUGACCAGCCACACUGGAACUGAGACACGGUCCAGACUCCUACGGGAGGCAGCAGUGGGGAAUAUUGCACAAUGGGCGCAAGCCUGAUGCAGCCAUGCCGCGUGUAUGAAGAAGGCCUUCGGGUUGUAAAGUACUUUCAGCGGGGAGGAAGGUGUUGUGGUUAAUAACCGCAGCAAUUGACGUUACCCGCAGAAGAAGCACCGGCUAACUCCGUGCCAGCAGCCGUGGUAAUACGGAGGGUGCAAGCGUUAAUCGGAAUUACUGGGCGUAAAGCGCACGCAGGCGGUCUGUCAAGUCGGAUGUGAAAUCCCCGGGCUCAACCUGGGAACUGCAUUCGAAACUGGCAGGCUUGAGUCUUGUAGAGGGGGGUAGAAUUCCAGGUGUAGCGGUGAAAUGCGUAGAGAUCUGGAGGAAUACCGGUGGCGAAGGCGGCCCCCUGGACAAAGACUGACGCUCAGGUGCGAAAGCGUGGGGAGCAAACAGGAUUAGAUACCCUGGUAGUCCACGCCGUAAACGAUGUCUACUUGGAGGUUGUGCCCUUGAGGCGUGGCUUCCGGAGCUAACGCGUUAAGUAGACCGCCUGGGGAGUACGGCCGCAAGGUUAAAACUCAAAUGAAUUGACGGGGGCCCGCACAAGCGGUGGAGCAUGUGGUUUAAUUCGAUGCAACGCGAAGAACCUUACCUGGUCUUGACAUCCACAGAAGAAUCCAGAGAUGGAUUUGUGCCUUCGGGAACUGUGAGACAGGUGCUGCAUGGCUGUCGUCAGCUCGUGUUGUGAAAUGUUGGGUUAAGUCCCGCAACGAGCGCAACCCUUAUCCUUUGUUGCCAGCGAUUAGGUCGGGAACUCAAAGGAGACUGCCAGUGAUAAACUGGAGGAAGGUGGGGAUGACGUCAAGUCAUCAUGGCCCUUACGACCAGGGCUACACACGUGCUACAAUGGCGCAUACAAAGAGAAGCGACCUCGCGAGAGCAAGCGGACCUCAUAAAGUGCGUCGUAGUCCGGAUUGGAGUCUGCAACUCGACUCCAUGAAGUCGGAAUCGCUAGUAAUCGUGGAUCAGAAUGCCACGGUGAAUGCGUUCCCGGGCCUUGUACACACCGCCCGUCACACCAUGGGAGUGGGUUGCAAAAGAAGUAGGUAGCUUAACCUUCGGGAGGGCGCUUACCACUUUGUGAUUCAUGACUGGGGUGAAGUCGUAACAAGG
rnacentral:rRNA from 1 species